rnacentral:RNase_P_RNA from 3 species
AGUUUCGGGUAAUCGCGGUUAACUUUUGUUAGCUGAGGAAAGUCCAUGCCCGCACAGACUGCGAUGUCUGUAGUGUUCGUGCUUAGCCCAAUAAGCUAAGGUACCGGUGACGGUAACGGCGAUGUAAGGACCUAAGGGGUAACCUAUGGUGUGAUGCAUCUGAAAGUGCCACAGUGACGAUCUUGUUUGGAAACAAGCAAGUUGGAACGGGUAAACCCCGCGAGCGAGUAACCCAAACUUUUGGUAGGGGCGUCCCACGUAAGGAAUUGAACGACGCGUGAGAGCAGUUUCGGCUGCAGAUAGAUGAUUACCCUCAUUAGUAUUGUUCCUGAGAGUAUUAAUGAGACAAAACAUGGCUUACAGAG